rnacentral:rRNA from 1 species
AUUGAACGCUGGCGGCAGGCCUAACACAUGCAAGUCGAACGGAGUGGCGGACGGGUGAGGAAUACCUCGGAAUCUACCAUGUCGUGGGGGAUAACGUAGGGAAACAGAAGCUAAUACCGCAUACUAUCAGAUGAGCCCAGGUGGGAUUAGCUAGUUGGUGGGGUAAAGGCCUACCAAGGCGACGAUCCGUAGCUGGUCUGAGAGGAUGAUCAGUCACACUGGAACUGAGACACGGUCCCGACUCCUACGGUAGGCAGCAGUGGGGAAUAUUGGACAAUGGGCGAAAGCCUGAUCCAUCCAUGCCGCGGGUGUGAAGAAGGUCUUCGGAUUGUAAAGCACUUUAAGUUGGGAGGCGUUACCAACAGAAUAAGCACCGGCUAACUCCGUGCCAGCAGCCGCGGUAAUAC